rnacentral:rRNA from 1 species
CCUACGGGAGGCUGCAGUAACGAAUAUUGGGCAAUGGGCGCAAGCCUGACCCAGCAAUGCCGCGUGCGGGAGGAAGUCCUUCGGGAUGUAAACCGCUGUCAGGGUCCGCCAAGCGAUGCGGGUGAACAAUCCGCAAAGUUGAGGAGACCCAGAGGAAGCCUCGGCUAACUCUGUGCCAGCAGCCGCGGUAAGACAGAGGAGGCAAGCGUUGUUCGGAAUUACUGGGCUUAAAGCGCGUGUAGGCGGCUGCGCAAGUGUCGUGUGAAAUCCUGCCGCUCAACGGCAGAACUGCACGGCAAACUGCGCGGCUUGAGGUCGGUAGAGGUGCCUGGAACUCUAGGUGGAGCGGUGAAAUGCGUAGAUAUCUAGAGGAACGCCUGAGGCGAAAGCGGGGCACUGGGCCGAUUCUGACGCUGAGACGCGAAAGCGUGGGGAGCAAA